UCGGGAAUUUUGGGCAAUGGGCGAAAGCCUGACCCAGCAACGCCGCGUGAAGGAUGAAGUAUUUCGGUAUGUAAACUUCGAAAGAAUAGGAAGAAUAAAUGACGGUACUAUUUAUAAGGUCCGGCUAACUACGUGCCAGCAGCCGCGGUAAUACGUAGGGACCAAGCGUUGUUCGGAUUUACUGGGCGUAAAGGGCGCGUAGGCGGCAAUUCAAGUCAUCUGUGAAAUCUCCGGGCUUAACUCGGAACGGUCAGAUGAUACUGCUUUGCUAGAGUGCAGAAGGGGCACUCGGAAUUCUUGGUGUAGCGGUGAAAUGCGUAGAUAUCAAGAGGAACACCUGAGGUGAAGACGGGUUGCUGGGCUGACACUGACGCUGAGGCGCGAAAGCCAGGGGAGCAAACGGGAUUAGAUACCCCCGUAGUCCCUGAGCGGGCUGGCAAGGCGCAU
rnacentral:rRNA from 1 species